rnacentral:sRNA from 1 species
GGCUGUGAGUUAUCUGGCUGUGACGUCGCCACCUCACUGAUCACAGGGUUGAUGAGACUGAUUUGGCACGGGUCCAGCCCUUCCCUUGUCGCUCCAUGUUCACCUCUUCUGAGGCUGUGUGCUUGAUAGCUUUCCCCAGCAUAAGUCUGUUCUUCAGUCAAGGGUAUACGAAUUGCUGUGAUUGGCCCUCUGUGCUGGUUAGUCAUUUUUGACUAACUCUCUCCAUCAGAGUACCAUGCCUGUGAAGCAUAUUAUAAUUUCUAUUGAUAUGGGAGGGUCCAGCCCACUGUGGGUGGCACCAUCCC